rnacentral:rRNA from 1 species
CGCGUAGGCGGCCUGAUAAGUCAGAUGUGAAAGUCCACGGCUCAACUGUGGAAGUGCAUUUGAAACUGUCAGGCUUGAGUAUCGGAGGGGAGUGUGGAAUUCCCGGUGUAGAGGUGAAAUUCGUAGAGAUCGGGAGGAACACCGGUGGCGAAGGCGACACUCUGGACGAAUACUGACGCUGAGGCGCGAAAGCGUGGGGAGCAAACAGGAUUAGAUACCCUGGUAGUCC